UACGUAGGGGGCAAGCGUUGUCCGGAUUUAUUGGGCGUAAAGAGCGUGUAGGCGGCUUUACAGGUCCGUUGUGAAAACUCGAGGCUCAACCUCGAGACGCCGGUGGAAACCGUAAAGCUAGAGUCCGGAAGAGGAGAGUGGAAUUCCUGGUGUAGCGGUGAAAUGCGCAGAUAUCAGGAGGAACACCUGCGGCGAAGGCGGGUUGCUGGGCCGACACUGACGCUGAAGCGCGAAAGCCAGGGGAGCGAACGGG
rnacentral:rRNA from 1 species